GUCUCACAAAAGAAUCUCUCUCUCUCUCUCCCUCCUCUCUCUCUCUCUACUCCUCCUCCUCCUUUCUUUUUUUUUUGGUGGUAGAACUGAGCUACUCAAGGAUAUAUCAAACAGUUACAGUGCCAACAAAGCCGGAGUGUUUUUCUUAAUUAAUAUAAAAAUAAAUUAUUUACAUAAAUAAUUUAAUUUUUAAUUUAUUUAUCAGAUUGAUAUAAAAAUG
rnacentral:lncRNA from 1 species